rnacentral:rRNA from 1 species
UACGGAGGGGGCUAGCGUCGUUCGGAAUUACUGGGCGUAAAGCGCACGUAGGCGGCUUUGUAAGUUAGAGGUGAAAGCCCAGGGCUCAACCCUGGAAUUGCCUUUAAGACUGCAUCGCUUGAACAUCGGAGAGGUAAGUGGAAUUCCGAGUGUAGAGGUGAAAUUCGUAGAUAUUCGGAAGAACACCAGUGGCGAAGGCGACUUACUGGACGAUUGUUGACGCUGAGGUGCGAAAGCGUGGGGAGCAAACAGG